rnacentral:rRNA from 1 species
UACGGAGGGUGCAAGCGUUAUCCGGAUUCACUGGGUUUAAAGGGUGCGUAGGCGGGUUGGUAAGUCCGUGGUGAAAUCUCCGAGCUUAACUCGGAAACUGCCGUGGAUACUAUCAAUCUUGAAUAUCGUGGAGGUAAGCGGAAUACGUCAUGUAGCGGUGAAAUGCUUAGAGAUGACAUAGAACACCAAUUGCGUAGGCAGCUUACUACACGAUCAUUGACGCUGAGGCACGAAAGCGUGGGGAGCAAACAGG